GGCGUGGCGCAUGCUUACACAUGCAGUCGAACGGUAACAGGGAGCUUGCUCCGCUGACGAGUGGCGAACGGGUGAGUAAUACAUCGGAACGUGUCCUGUAGUGGGGGAUAGCCCGGCGAAAGCCGGAUUAAUACCGCAUACGAUCUACGGAUGAAAGCGGGGGAUCUUCGGACCUCGCGCUAUAGGGGCGGCCGAUGGCAGAUUAGCUAGUUGGUGGGGUAAAGGCCUACCAAGGCGACGAUCUGUAGCUGGUCUGAGAGGACGACCAGCCACACUGGGACUGAGACACGGCCCAGACUCCUACGGGAGGCAGCAGUGGGGAAUUUUGGACAAUGGGCGAAAGCCUGAUCCAGCAAUGCCGCGUGUGUGAAGAAGGCCUUCGGGUUGUAAAGCACUUUUGUUCGGGAAGAAAAGGACUGGGCUAAUAUCCUGGUCUGAUGACGGUACCGGAAGAAUAAGCACCGGCUAACUACGUGCCAGCAGCCGCGGUAAUACGUAGGGUGCAAGCGUUAAUCGGAAUUACUGGGCGUAAAGCGUGCGCAGGCGGUUUGUUAAGACAGAUGUGAAAUCCCCGGGCUCAACCUGGGAACUGCAUUUGUGACUGGCAAGCUAGAGUCUGGCAGAGGGGGGUGGAAUUCCGCGUGUAGCAGUGAAAUGCGUAGAUAUGCGGAGGAACACCGAUGGCGAAGGCAGCCCCCUGGGCCAACACUGACGCUCAUGCACGAAAGCGUGGGGAGCAACAGGAAACCC
rnacentral:rRNA from 1 species